rnacentral:rRNA from 1 species
GUGCCAGAAAAAAGGGGCAAUACGAAGGGGGCUAGCGUUGCUCGGAAUGCCUGGGCGUAAAGGGCGCGUAGGCGGCUGUCACAGUCAGAUGUGAAAUUCCUGGGCUCAACCUGGGGACUGCAUUUGAUACGUGGCGGCUUGAGUGGAGAAGAGGGUUGUGGAAUUUCCAGUGUAGAGGUGAAAUUCGUAGAUAUUGGAAAGAACACCGGUGGCGAAGGCGGCAACCUGGUCUUCAACUGACGCUGAGGCGCGAAAGCGUGGGGAGCAAACAGGAUUAGAUACCCUGGUAGUCCACGCUGUAAACGAUGUGUGCUGGAUGUUGGGGAACUUAGUUUCUC